GCAAGACUAAAGACCGCUUUCUAAUCCAUUGAUCUUCGGAUUAAUAUUCUUGACAUCUGGCCUCAAAUCAGGUAGGACUACCCGCUGAACUUAAGCAUAUCAAUAAGCGGAGGAAAAGAAACUAACAAGGAUUCCCCUAGUAACGGCGAGUGAAGCGGGAAGAGCUCAAAUUUGAAAUCUGGUAGCCUUCGGUUGCCCGAGUUGUAAUCUAGAGAAAUGUUUUCCGUGCCGGCCCAUGUACAAGUCCCUUGGAACAGGGCGUCAUAGAGGGUGAGAAUCCCGUCCUUGACAUGGACCCCCGGUGCUUUGUGAUACAUUUUCAACGAGUCGAGUUGUUUGGGAAUGCAGCUCAAAAUGGGUGGUGAAUUCCAUCUAAAGCUAAAUAUUGGCGAGAGACCGAUAGCGAACAAGUACCGUGAGGGAAAGAUGAAAAGCACUUUGGAAAGAGAGUUAAACAGUACGUGAAAUUGUUGAAAGGGAAACGAUUGAAGUCAGUCAUGCUCUUUGGUAUUUAUAUCAUUGAGUGGGGUCAACAUCAGUUUUGAUCGAUGGAUAAAGGCACUAGGAAGGUAGCACUCUCGGGUGAACUUAUAGCCUAGCGUCAUAUACAUUGAUUGGGACUGAGGAACGCAGCAUGCCUUUAUGGCCGGGAUUCGUCCACGUACAUGCUUAGGAUGUUGACAUAAUGGCUUUAAACGACCCGUCUUGAAACACGGACCAAGGAGUCUAACAUAUCUGCGAGUAUUUGGGUGUCAAACCCGAGUGCGCAAU
rnacentral:rRNA from 1 species